AACAAUUGUCACAUAAUGCUAUAAAGAUAAUCUUACAAAAACAAAAUUAAGGGUCUCAAGCACUAUUUCUGUAAAAAAAAAUCUGACUACUUUCUCUAUGUAGGUCAUCCCUUAGUCUUUAACAUGGAAGAAAGAAGACAAGCUUUAAUUUAUAAAUUUCUAAUAAUUUUCAAAUUAUUCCUGGAGAACAUCACUGCUGCCAGUGUUUUUACAGUUAUAAUAUUAAGCUAACCAUCCUAAUCCUCCUCCUCUUAUUACAAAUGCUGUUUUCUCUUUCUCAGUCAUUUACAGACUUGUAGAAAUAAUUAGGAAGCCAUCGGUUCCUUGGUAUCACUGUUGAACAGUUCAUUCACUCAGUAGCUAAUUCCUGAAAAACCUGUGUAGCAGGCCCAGUGCUACAGCUAGGGAUGAAAGGUGAACAGCACAGGUCUUAGAUCUGCCGGCUUAUGGUCAUGCAGAGUUGUUGACUGUAGAAUUUGUGGUAAGCGGUAAUUGUGUGUGUGUGUGUGUGUGUGUGUGUGGUUAGCUAAUACAAGUGUGAGAGGAAAAAUAAAUAAGUAUCAGAACAAGCCCAAAUCCUUUAUCAGCCCAUUCCCUGUCAGUCUUCCCUUAAAAUUCUUCGUUCUGUGAUUUCUAAACUAGUCUUCAGGACUCUGAGGUGCCUUUCUGUGCUCCUCUUUGGUAACAGCUAGAUUUCCAUAUCAGGGUUUGUUUCUUUGUUUUCCUGCAGUUCCAUUCCUAUGGAGAGAAAUAGCUUAUUUCAUUUCAAAAUAGGUGAGAAAGUUCUGGAAAAUGUGAUAAAUCAGCUGUUAUAAGAAGCUAAAAUCCUUCAUGUUAACUGUAGGUCUUCCUCUCACUCUCCCAGAGCACGUCUUGGGGGGCACAAGAAGAAAGCGCAUCUCCUUUCUGGGGCUCAGUCACUGCUGUCAGUGCUCCCACACUGGAGGCCUGGGCCCUUGUAACCACUGGGGGUGCUGUCAUCUCAUGGAUUUUACAGAGAUUGCUUCUCACUGGGUACUUGACUUUUGGCACUGGGGACAUCUGUGUCACAGGAGAGAGACCCCCAAGCAAAGCAGCACAUAUUGUGAUGAAAGCAAAAGCUGUCUGGGACAUCUCUCCUCAGAGCACAUUGCUGCAAACCCCGCUGUGACUGGACCCACGUACCCAGGAGAAAGAGCUGCGAAAGAAGAGGUCUUCUAA
rnacentral:lncRNA from 1 species